rfam:Olsenella sp. An270 An270_contig_1, whole genome shotgun sequence.
GGGCGAUUGGCUCAGGGGUAGAGCACUUCCUUCACACGGAAGGGGUCGCUGGUUCGAAUCCAGCAUCGCCCA